GUACAGUUCAUCUUUGUAAUCCAAAAGAAAGAAAGAGCAUGACAAAUUUCAUCUUAUUAUAACUUUGUAUCACAUCCACCUCUCCCAGAAUUAAAAAUACAAGAGUAAUACGCUCAAAUUACACUACAAUGGGCAAUUGAGAAUUAUUGAGAAAUUAUGCUAGAUACAUACUAGGUCCAUUUAUAUAAUUUAACAUAAGCUACUUGCACGUUGUCUUGAUGGGAGAAGGAUGAGUGCUGCAGUGAAAUGAGCAUUGGCACCCCUUAUCAACACAUUUGCCAAUCCCGUUGAGUUUCAUGUUGCAGUCGUCACGGCACCCGUUGUUAUCACAUGUGCCAAAGCGAAUGAUUCGUGAGCAUGUUGAUGGUGAGUAAUCCGUGGUGAAGAGGCCAUCCUCCAUAGGGAUGACCCUAGAAGUACAAAUCUCUACAAUACACCGCCACACACAAGAAUAAAAUUAAAUGGUGUCAUGAUUGUUCAUUCGUUCUACCAUCCCAAAUAAACUAUCUGACCAGACAAACUGAUGUUAUCAUGCUUAGUCUUACCUGAUGGUAACAGGACAAGUACAAUGGCGAGUAAUAAUAGCUUGCUGCUAAGCCUCAUGGCUGCUCGAGAUG
rnacentral:lncRNA from 1 species